CGUAGCUCGGCGAGUGAGCGGCAACAGCUCAAAUUUGAAAUCUGGCUCUCGGGCCCGAGUUGUAAUUUGUAGAGGAUACUUUUGAUGCGGUGCCUUCCGAGUUCCCUGGAACGGGACGCCAUAGAGGGUGAGAGCCCCGUCUGGUUGGAUGCCAAAUCUCUGUAAAGUUCUUUCGACGAGUCGAGUAGUUUGGGAAUGCUGCUCUAAAUGGGAGGUAUAUGUCUUCUAAAGCUAAAUACCGGCCAGAAACCGAUAGCGCACAGUUAGGGGGUC
rnacentral:rRNA from 1 species